rnacentral:rRNA from 1 species
AUUGAACGCUGGCGGCAUGCCUUACACAUGCAAGUCAAACGGUAACAGGUCUUCGGAUGCUGACGAGUGGCGAACGGGUGAGUAAUACAUCGGAACGUGCCUAGUAGUGGGGGAUAACUACUCGAAAGAGUGGCUAAUACCGCAUGAGAUCUACGGAUGAAAGCAGGGGAUCGCAAGACCUCGUGCUACUAGAGCGGCCGAUGGCAGAUUAGGGAGUUGGUGGGAUAAAAGCUUACCAAGCCGACGAUCUGUAGCUGGUCUGAGAGGACGAUCAGCCACGAUGGGACUGGGACACGGCCCAGACUCCUACGGGAGGCAGCAGGUGGGAAUUGUGGACAAUGGGCGAAAGCCGGAUCCAGCAAUGCCGCGUGCAGGAUGAAGGCGUUCGGGUUGUAAACGGCUUUUGUACGGAACGAAAAGCCCCGGGUUAAUGCCCUGGGGUCAUGACGGUACCGUAAGAAUAAGCACCGGCUAACUACGUGCCAGCCGCAGUAAAAC